rnacentral:rRNA from 1 species
CGGGGGAUAGUUUAUUAGGCCUGAGUAGUAACAGUUAUGUUCUAAAAAUUUGAAAAAUUUGGCGGUGGUUUAGUCUUGUCAGAGGAACCUGUCUUUUAAACGAUACACCACGAAAUAUCUUACUUAAGUUAGUAGAGUAUGUAUACCAUCAUUAUUAGGUAAUUUUUAUAGAAUAAAUUACUGUAUUACGAUUAAUAAUGUUAAAUAUAUUAGAUCAAGGUGCAGCUUAUACUUAAGUCAAGAUGGGUUACAAUAGAAUUUAUGCUAUACGAAUGAGUAACUGAAAUUGUGACUCGGAAGGAGGAUUUGAUUGUAAAUCUAGUUUAAUAAGCUAGUUAGAUAUAAGCUCUAAAGCAUGUACACACCGCCCAACCACCACAUCAAAA